ensembl:lncRNA
UGCUGUCCUGCUGCUGCUCCCCCAGCGCCAGGAGAGGCGAGGAGCAGCAUCACCAGAGUCAGGUGCUGAGGGACAGACACGUGGGCCACGGUGCUCCUGCUCCAGCUGCAACCGCUGCAGCAAAGCUGAGCAGGAGCUACAGCAGCUGGUGUUGCCGGCUCUCCCAGAGCACGUGGCCACUCUGGGCCCUGAGUUCUGGGAUGCGGCCUGGCGGGACCUGGAAAAGCUGGUGGAGCAAGGAAGCCUAUCCUGCUGCAGCUCCCCCAGCUCCUCCACACAGCUGGGGACAGUUGUACGUGAGAGCAUCAUGCAGACAGGUGCCGCUGUACGUUGGUGGGAGCAGAAGGAACAGCAGCCUGUUGGAUUGUCCAAGCGUCCACAAGAAGUAC